rnacentral:tRNA from 1 species
GAAGUUAAAAUUUUUAAAGCCGCUAACUUUAACUCUGUUUAUUAAUCAAAAACAUAACUUCU